UAAAAAGGAUUUUUUUUUGAAAAAAAGAGAGAGAGAGAGAGAAGGAAUUUCCAAUUUGAGUCUCUCUAAGGAAACACGGUUCACGCCCCUGCAAAUCUUUAGCUAUAUUUAGGGUACUUUUCAACCUUUCAUUUUUUUUUUUUUUAAUUUUUUUCUUUCAUUUUUGUUCUUCCAAAUUCGAUGCUUCUUCUUAUUCAAGCUGAGAAAAGCUCUGUCUAGGGUUAGGGUUUAGAAAAUAAACAAUUUAGACAAAAAAAUAAUAAAAGAAAAUUUGUCUAACCAGUAACCGGACGGAAGCCAUGGCUCGUCAAUGAAACAGGUGAUAAUCCCUAGCUCAGGGCUUCGAUUUUCGGUGCAGUUGGUACGGUGCGGCCUUUGGUUGUUCCUUUUGUGGUUUAUAUAUGGCGGCUGCGAAUCCACAGCCCCUACAGGCCCGUCUGUUUGAAGAGCACGCCCAAGGGACGAUACAGAUCGAGGACGACGAUGGAGAGUACGAAGAUGACGCCAUGGACGACGUGGAGGACGCGAAUGUCAACUCCGUGAAUGUGGCGGAGCAUGGAAUAGGAGUGGUAGGCGGCGUUAGUGGUGGCGGUGGUGGAGGCGUUGUUAUGGCGUCGAGAACUAGCGAGCUUACUCUCUCUUUUGAAGGAGAAGUUUACGUAUUCCCUGCUGUUACUCCUGAAAAGGUGCAAGCUGUGCUGUUACUCCUUGGGGGUCGUGAUAUCCCCACUGGUGUUCCAACAAUUGAAGUACCUUUUGAUCAAAAUAACAGGGGUGUAGGUGAUCUUCCAAAGCGCUCAAAUCUUUCAAGACGAAUCGCAUCCUUGGUUAGGUUCCGUGAGAAGAGGAAAGAGAGAUGUUUUGACAAGAAAAUUAGGUAUACCGUACGGAAAGAGGUUGCACAGAGGAUGCAUCGUAAAAAUGGACAGUUUGCGUCUUUAAAGGAAAGUACUAGUACUUCAAGCUGGGAUUCUUCACAAACUGGCGUUCAAGAUGGUACACCUCAUCCAGAAACUGUUGUCCGGAGAUGUCAACAUUGUGGUGUUAGUGAAAAUAAUACUCCAGCAAUGCGUCGAGGUCCAGCUGGUCCGAGGACUUUAUGUAACGCUUGUGGGCUUAUGUGGGCAAAUAAGGUAUGCCUCAGAAUAGUCUUUGGAAUGUUGCUAAUGUUGGGGACACUGAGAGAUCUCAGUAAAGGAGGGAGGAAUAUUUCCAUGGACCAAACUGAACCUGAAACACCAAUUGAUGUCAAGCCUUCAAUUAUGGAAGGGGACUUCCCUGGUAACCAGGAUGAACAUUUUAUGCAGGGAAAUCCUUCGAAGGAUGUCACUGAUGGAUCCAAUAAUGCUUCUAUCAACCCCGAUGAAGAAGUGGAUAUUUAUUUACAUAUUGAAGCAACUGACCAAGAUUCAGCAGAACAAUCCUCAGAAUUGAAAUAAAUUAUUGAUCCAGUCUAAUAGGUAAUAUAUUCUCUUUCUUGGUAACUUGCGUUUUCACAUGGUGCAGGAUUUGCAUGAAAGUGCAGAAGAUCUUACAAACUCCUUAUCUAUGGGAAUUGUCCAUCCCUCUGCAGAUGAUGAUGAGCAGGAACCUCUGGUUGAGCUUGCUAAUCCUUCAGAUACAGAAAUCAGCAUUCCUUCUAAUUUUGAUUAGAAGGUUUCAAUGGGCUUUGCUCCAAUAAAUUUAAGGGGAUGUGGGUAUUAGACACUUUACCCAGUUGGUUUCUCUCAUGUCUUUGUGCUUCGUACAGGUCGACAUUUAUGAUGUUUAUAUGGAGUCCAACAUAGCAGAUUGUGAGUUGCCAUAAUUAGGAAACCGGCUUGACAUUGAAUCCUAAGUACAGUUAUUAGCUAGUGACUGGAAAACACAUGCUGCUGCUUUCAGGCUGACUUUAGAUACUCUGAAGGUUCUCAUUGUUGAUAUAAGUGCUGAAAUCUGUGUACAAUUUGUUAGGAAAAAAUGCCAGAAUACUUUUACCCCGUUUAUAAAUAUGUGAUUUAUUUCUUAGGACUUUAAAAGGAUUAGUUUGUGCGAUGCUUAGUUUUGCUUGGCAGAGGCUUUGUACUUGGUGAUAUCGUGACCUUAAGUAGGGAUUCGAUUAAGAAAUGAAAAGGGCAUCCCACAAUGCUGUGAUA